GAAGAGGAGAAGAAGAAGAAGAGGAAGAGAAGAGGAAGAGGAAGCAGGGGAAGAGGUUGUGAUACCUCUGUUUCCUGCAGAGGAAACAGAGGAGAGGGUGUGGGUGACGUCGGGGAGAAGAAGGGGAGGAAGGAGAAGAAGAGAAGAAGAAGAAAGGAAGGAAAAGGAAGAGGAGAAGGGAAGAAAGUAGCUGCGGCUGCGGUUGUGGCAGCUGCAGCUGUGGCAGGGAAAGAAGAAGAGAAAGGAAGAAGGGGAGGAGAGGAAGAAGAGUAGGGGCUGCGGCUGCGGCGAUGGCAGCUGCAGUUGGAAGAGAAGAAGGAGAGGAAGAUGAGCAGGGGAGGAAGAAAAGGCUGUGGCCGUGGCUGAGGCUGCGACUGCAGCAUGCAGCUGGGAAAGAAGAGAAGGAAAGGAAGAAGAAGAGAAAGGAAGAAGGGAAGGAGAGGAAGAAGAGAAGGGGCUGCGGCUGCGGCGAUGGCAGCUGCAGUUGGAAGAGAAGAAGGAGAGGAAGAUGAGCAGGGGAGGAAGAAAAGGCUGUGGCCGUGGCUGAGGCUGCGACUGCAGCAUGCAGCUGGGAAAGAAGAGAAGGAAAGGAAGAAGAAGAGAAAGGAAGAAGGGAAGGAGAGGAAGAAGAGAAGGGGCUACGGCUGCGGCGAUGGCAGCUGCAGUUGGAAGAGAAGAAGGAGAGGAAGAUGAGCAGGGGAGGAAGAAGAGGCUGCGAGUGUGGUGGCUGCAGCCGUGGCUGCGACUCCGGCUGCGGCUGCAACGUUGGCUGCGGUAGCUGCGGCAGCGGUGGUGGCUGCAGUAGCUGCAGUAGCUGCUUUUGGGAAAGAGAAAGAGUAGGAACGAGAGAAGGGAAGAAGGAAAUAGUGCAGUGGAAGGGGGCUGCGGUUGUGACCGCAGUUGCGGUCGUGGCUGCGAUUGUGGCAGCGGCAGCGGCGGCGGCUGUGGCAGCUGCGUUUGGGAAAGAAAAAGAAGGAAUGAGAGUAAGAGAGAGCAGGUGACUGUGCCUCGAUGUUCGACACGUGAUGUAGUUGCGAAGAAAGGAAGAAAACGGGAGCACAAAACGAAACAGAGAGAGGACACGGCGAAAAAGUAGAAGGAUUUGAGCUGGCACCUUCUUUGGAUCUUCGGAUCGAAAUCAUUGAAAGGUCAGCUUGUCACUCUUCGAGAUGUUUGAUUUGGGCUGAGGCAGUGGAUAGCUAUUCAGAAUAAUGGGCAAGUCUGGUUGGUUAUUACGAUAUUGUUGUAUAAGUAUGUCUUGUAUGUAAUGAAAUGUUGUCGAUGAACCGAAAUGGAUAUACUGUGUCAGAGUGUUAGGAGAUCUCUCUUAUUUGGAAUUUCAGAAUGUUAAGUCUAAUUUAUGGUGAUAUGAACUUGUGGUGAAUAGUUGGAGUUCUGAUUGUAUAAUUUAUUUAGCUUGUGGAUUUAUAAAUGUUGUUCUUGUUUGUCAAGUUGGCUUGGGUUGCCAUAAAUGUGAAUUAUCGAGUGAUGUGAUAUAUGAUUAUAAACUGCACAGGUUUUAUGGAUGUGAAUAUGAAUAGAAUGUUUUCAGUGUCCUCAAACGUUAGUUUGGAUCCUGGAUUGGUCUGUGACGAAAAUUUUAAAAAUCAUGGAUAUUUUGAGGGGCGUGACAGAGGUGGUAUCAGAGCAUUGUUUGAGGAUUACUGAAAUAUUUGAUAUGUUGACGUGCAAAAUAUAUUGAGGUCUAAUGAACUAUAGUGAUUGGUGGAAAUUUUCUUUGAUGUAUUUUAGGAAUCUGGGAUGAUGAGGACAUUUGGUCCUCCUAUUUCAUUGUUUCUGAUUAAUUAAGGGGAAUGAAAGGAUUGAUUGGGGAUAUUGAAUCAGAGUGGCGUAGCGGAAGCAUGGUGGACCUAAUUUCAUUGGUGGUAGAAAAAUGAAUGAUGCAAACAGAGAAGAUAUUUGAUGUACAAAAUUAUUUUGAUGAUCAAAAGAUUUCUUUUGCCACCUUAUAUUGGAAGUAGAGGCUGAUUAUUAUUGGCAACAAUGAAAAGAAUUUUUGGAGAUCAGUGACAAGAAUGAUAAGGACAAGUUUACCAAUAAGAAUAUGAUUGGAAAUGAAUCAGAAAGUAAUGACAAGAGGGUCAAGACAUUUGGAUUUGAAAAGGAAAGUCACCACCAAAGACUUAAUCAUGUGUGAAUUACAAGUUAAAUUAUGAAACAAGUUUGUGUUUUCGGGUGAUUGGAGUCUAUUUUGCUUGUAGAAAGUUGGAUCAUAAAAUAAAAGUUUGCCCUUUGAACAAGAAGAAAGAGUCACUGCCUCCUAAAUCAUCAGCCCAUGUAAGAGUGUAUGCUAUCACUAAAUAUGAUUCUGAAACUUCUGAAUUAGUGGUCAAAGGUAUUAUGCAUGUUUAUGAAAGAAUGCAAAUAUUUGUUCGACCAUGGGUCCAAUCUACGAUUUGAUUCGUAAUAUUUUGCUUAUCACUUGGGUAUUCAACCUAGACCACUACAUUAUGUGCUAUAAGUAAAUACGAUCAUUGGAGAUUCUUUGAUAACGAAGUUGAAUCUGGUCCUCUUGUCUGAUUCUUAUUGGAGAACUUGAACUUUUGCUGAUUUAGUUCUCCUAGAUAUUUGGAGUUUUGAUAUUAUACUUGGUAUGGAUUGGCUAUCUUCCUAACAUACCAGUAUGGAUUGGUAUAUAACAAAUGAUCACAUUUUGCAUAUUUGAUCAGCCGAUCUUUUAUUUUGAGAGUAUUGGACAUUAUUUAUCUCCUUGCCUAAUGUAUCCCAGGAUGACUUGUUUGGAUUACCUCCAAAUGUGAUUUUGCUUUUGAUUUGGUCCUUGGGACAAUCCUAAAAUCUAAGCCUCUCUACAGAAAGAUAUCAUUUGAGUAAGUGGAAUUAGAAAAGCAACUACAAGGAUUAUUAAAUGAGGAUUUUAUUUGGCUUAAUAUUUCAUCAUGGGGUGCUCCGGUGUUAGUUAAAAGAAAUGUAUGGAACAUUGAGGCUUUGUAAUGAUUAUAGACAGUUGAAUUAGGUGACCAUCAAAAAAACGAGUAUUUUCUGAAGUAACGACUUGCUCAAUUAAUUACAGGGUACGCAAGUAUUUUUAGAAAUUGAUUGAAGGUCGGGUUACCGUCUAUUGAGGAUCAAGGAGGAGAAUAUUUCGGUCACUCGUGGAUAAUUAUGUAAUUGUAUUGUAUUGAUGAAACUAUUUAAGAGUAGGAGGAGGAAAUAAAGAUAUCAUAAUCCUCAUCUUUUCAUCGAUUGAGCUAUGAUCAAUUUAGAGGACUAAAUUUUCUUUUAAGGGGGGGAGAGUGUAAUAUCCCUCGCUUUUAAAAAUUAUUAAUAAAGAUUUAUAUGUAAAUUGGAGGACCUAUAUGUAAAUAUAGAAAUUACAAGGACUAAACUGCUAAGUUGCAAAAAAAGAAAAAAAAAGGGAAAACCGAAAAUUCGGUAUUAUCCCACCGCCUCCCACGCACUCUGUUUCUUCCAGAAACAGAGAGAGCGGUGGGGCGUGAGGAGAAGAAGGAGAGUGGUAGAAGAAGAGAGGAAGAAGAAGAAGA